ensembl:misc_RNA 7SK 7SK RNA
GCAUGGUAUUUUAUUAUGCUUUAACUUCCCUCCUUUUCAGUAAUGUAUUGUUUCUCCUGAUCUGACUGACUAGGUGAGUAUUCCCUUCCUCCCCCACCAUUCCAAAUGUGUCUGUCUCAAAGGUGUGCACCCAGUCAAAGAAGACAUCCUUUCUUGACAGAGGAGGGCAGCUCUUGGGUCAAAGGUGUUUUGAGUAGCUGACCCACCAAGCAAGUUCUUACAUGGUGGCAAUUUUAUGAGUAAGCUCACUUUCAAUUUUCCAAUAGUU